GACCGGGUAGCUCAGUUGGUAGAGCAACGGACUUUUAAUCCGUAGGUCCUGGGUUCGAUCCCCAGCCCGGUCA
rnacentral:tRNA from 1 species